rnacentral:lncRNA from 1 species
UGUCAUUGAAAUAUUACAUUGGAAACAAAAAAUUAAAAUUUGUAAAUAAAGCAGUGCGGACAAGGGAGUUAGAUGUGGGAGCGAAUGAAAAUAAACAGAAUACAUGUAGGGUGUGUGGGAUAGAGCACGAAAGUGAAGAGGAUAUAGGAACACUCGAGGUGGAUUGGAUGCAAUUUUGUAAGUAGUAGUAAGGGAAAGCAGAGUGAAUGUGGUUAUUGGGUGCAUGAGAAAUGUUUAGUUUUGUAUCCAGCGAGUGGGUACACGUGUGAGAAAAAGAGGGG